GCAUCGAAAGCUCAGUGGCAGAGCGGUGGGGCGUUUACCCAUGCGGCCCGGGUUCGAUUCCCGGUCGACGUA